UACGUAGGGUGCGAGCGUUGUCCGGAAUUAUUGGGCGUAAAGGGCUCGUAGGCGGUCUGUCACGUCGGGAGUGAAAACUCGGGGCUUAACCCCGAGCCUGCUUCCGAUACGGGCAGACUAGAGGUAUGCAGGGGAGAACGGAAUUCCUGGUGUAGCGGUGAAAUGCGCAGAUAUCAGGAGGAACACCGGUGGCGAAGGCAGGUCUCUGGGCUGACACUGACGCUCAUGCACGAAAGCGUGGGGAGCAAACAGG
rnacentral:rRNA from 1 species